AUGGAAGAUCUUACCACAGGGAAUGUCCA
rnacentral:piRNA from 1 species